rnacentral:rRNA from 1 species
UACGUAGGGUGCGAGCGUUGUCCGGAAUUAUUGGGCGUAAAGGGCUCGUAGGCGGUUUGUCGCGUCGGGAGUGAAAAUCCAGGGCUUAACUCUGGACUGGCUUCCGAUACGGGCAGACUAGAGGUAUGCAGGGGAGAACGGAAUUCCUGGUGUAGCGGUGAAAUGCGCAGAUAUCAGGAGGAACACCGGUGGCGAAGGCGGUUCUCUGGGCAUUACCUGACGCUGAGGCGCGAAAGCGUGGGGAGCAAACAGG